UCGGAACAUGGGUGUUGGUGGUA
rnacentral:siRNA from 1 species